GAUGAACGCUAGCUACAGGCUUAGCACAUGCAAGUCGAGGGGCAGCACUAGGUAGCAAUACUGAGGUGGCGACCGGCGCACGGGUGCGUAACGCGUAUGCAACCUACCUUUAACAGGGGGAUAACACUGAGAAAUUGGUACUAAUACCCCCAUAAUACUUCGGGAGGCAUCUUUUGGAGUUGAAAGUUCCGGCGGUUAGAGAUGGGCAUGCGUUGUAUUAGCUAGAUGGUAGACGUAACGGCCUACCCAAGGCAACGAAUGAUUAGGGGUUCCGUGAGAGGAAGAUCCCCCACACUGGUACUGAGACACGGACCACGACUUCCUACGGGAGGCAGCAGUUGAGGAAUAUUGGUCAAUGGGCGAAAAGCCUGAACCAGCCAAGUCGCGUGAAGGAUGACUGCCCUUAGGUGGUAAACUUCUUUUAUUUGAGAGUAAAGAUUCUACGUGUAGAAUUUUGCAAGUAUCAAAAGAAUAAGCAUCGGCUAAUUCCGGUGCCAGCAGCCGCGGU
rnacentral:rRNA from 1 species